GGCUUGAUCGCAAAUCCGGUAAGUACAUCUAUGCUAAUAGUUUAGCAUGCUAAAGUGUUGUAAACAACACAUGGGGUUAUCGUGUGAUACACGUUACCUCAAUUAAGCGAUAAAUGUAGUUGACAAAGUUACGCGUGUUGACACAUAUAGUACAAAAGUCUUGUAUUAUGAUACGGGCAUUUAGUAAAGUUGACAUUACUAACUUUUGUGAAUGUCUUGAUUGAAGGAAACUUGCGUUUAAAGAUGACAAAGGUUAAACAAAUUAAAGAUGUGAUAGAGGAACAGUCCGAGGCAUGACGAGAGGAACAUGCUCACUAAGGACUAAAUCGCGUAAAGACCGCGAACAAGGUUAAUGGCAAGAAACGCCCGUCGGGGCAAGCAUUAUCAGGUGCGUGCUUUUAAAUAUAAUCGCGCAAUUAGCAAUGUGCAACAAACAUGUAAAGAAUGAUUGUCGCAUAUGUAAAUUAGAAACUUGGGAAACCUGAAUAGAAUACCUAUCCAGGAUAUUAUCUCCAAGAAAACUAAAUAGAGGUGUUACUUACAUGGGGUGUGAUGUGAAAACUAUAAAAAGGUCGUGUAUGUCAUGUGUUAAUCGCUUACUCUGGCCAAGUAAGUAGUGGCAUAUGAUACCAUGAGUUUCUUAUAGCGGACACAUUAUAUCUGAUGUAGUAAGGACGGGGUAAAUGGGACAAAUUAAAAAGUACCCAAAAGAAUCAAGUGAGCAAAAUAUUUGAUAAUAAUGUAAACGCACAGCCGAGUGACGGAAGCGUAUUACAUUAAGAUAAUGAGCCCGAGUGAAGGGACAACGAAACACGUAAGAUGAUCAGAAUACGUAUCGGGAGGGGGGUGUACUUACACUCGAACCCGGAAAAUGCAAAUAUGUAAAAUGAUGUAGACAUGUAUUGGGAGGGGGUGUACUUACACUCGAACCCAGAAAAUGCAAAUAUGUAAAAUGAUGUAGACAUGUAUUGGGAGGGGGUGUACUUACACUCGAACCCGGAAAAUGCAAACAUGUAAAAUGAUGUAGACAUGUAUUGGGAGGGGGUGUACUUACACUCGAACCCGAAGAAUAUAAACAUGUAAAAUGAUCAAGAUAUGCAUUGGGAGGUAGUGUACUUACACUCGAACCCGAAGAAUGCAAAUAAGACUCUUAACGGGCCGAUUUUGUAAAACACCAAAUUUGAGAACAAAGUAGGAAUAUAAAAGCGAAACGAAGUCAUAAUGCAUACCGUAAGGGUUGCAAUAAUAACGACUUCGGUAAAAUACCCGGUUGGUGGGUAAGGAUUUAAACACAUGCGUAGACUGAGAAACAGGAACGCGCAUGGAAAGUCAAAAGACGCGGGUUUUGGGUCAUGACCAAAGGACGAUAAGAUAACGGCAAAUAGAAAUUUUGAUGAAUUACGCUCAACUAUUUUAAAGUUGAACGGGUCGAACAAAGAUUGAAGUUUGACAUUUAUAAGUGAUGAAAUUUUCACACGAACAAGUCAAACAAAAUUUAAAAAAAAGGGAUGACUCUUGCUAGAGUAAGUAAGCGCGAAUCAAAUAAAAAAAAAGUGCGAAAUAUUAGUAAACCUAUGUAAAGGAGUUAAAGGUGUUAAAAACAUUAGAAUAAAAGAACCCGGGUAAUGGGACGUAAAGAAGUAUAGGUAAGAACCGGUUAACAGUAAGUGUAGGGCAAACCGACGUGUAAUUGACGUUAGAAGUCAAGGAGUCGGAAGGAUAAUUCGAAAGAAAACAAUGUAGCCUUAGACUACGGUCAAGGUCAAACGAAAUCCAAAAAGUAAAGGUGAAUAAUUCUAAAACAUAAGAGGGGGUGCCUUAAUGCCAUAUGCGUAUAUAAAUGUAUACACAUUUGAAUAAAGACUUGAAUAAAAGAUGAUCUACGGGAUCAUCAUAACCUGCGGGAUAUGAAUUAAAGCAAAAGGAUCAUAAGGGUCUCACCUUAAAGAGGUGAAAACAUAAGGAAAUAGCCUACGAGGUUAAGUGAAGGAACCUACGGGUCAAUAGUGUAAGGUGAGGGAAUUUGUUACGAUUCCCCGCAUAAAGUAAGAACAGAAAACAAUAAAUUAUGAGUUAUCAAUUUCCUUGAUAUGGAUAAUUGACAAAAGUUAAAAGGAAAAUGCUAAACUAAAACUCCGGUUUUUGCAAGAAAUGACGUUUUUACGAAUAUGAAUUCUGAUAGACGAAUAUGUAAUAGGCAUGAAAGAUAUAAGUCUUGACACUGAUAAGUGCAAGACGAUACAUUUGAAAAGAAAGGUUGGAAUAGACCUAAACAUGACGUGACGCGAUCACGGUCAAGAGAAGUAAUGUGAAGUAAUCAUAUUAUGACCCGAGUGAUGGGUACAAAGUAACUGGACUGAUAAGUCUAGUUAGUGAGAUCGGUUAAGGUCGAAACCCAAAUUAAGAAAUUGUUUAACACGUUAUUCACUACGAAGAGUAAUGUAGAAUAAACAUAAUUUAUAAACCUAUGUGACUAAGUGGCCAACGUUUGGCGACACGGUCAAGUAAACAACAAAGGUAUAUAGAUCCAAGAGAUAAAGUGACAGCCCAUGAGACCUCACUAACAGAAAAUAUUGAUCACUUAUUUGAGGGAUCAUAAAGCUAUAAGUUCAUGAACAAAAGAAUAGUUGCUAAAAGUUAAAGAUUUCACCAAGGACCUUUAAACGGGUCAAAACGACAGAUUCAUAAAUAAUUUGAUAGUAUAUGAAAGCGAUGAAUAUCGCUAAGUUAACCGGACUAGUGGAAAUAACGAGGUUACGUUAUUUCAAGAUUGCACUAUGUAGUAUGAGAUACGUAGACAAUUAGUAACCAAAAGGAUAUUGCCAUACUUUUCUGGUAAUACUAACAAUUGGUCAAAGUAAAAGUAACGUUUAAAAGAUUUCUCGGAUCAAAUGCAUUGAGUUUGAACUUGAUGAAUUAAGCAAGAAAAGGUUUCGAGGACGAAACCUCUUUAAGGGGGGUAGACUUGUAACACCCCGAAAACAGGUUUGGAAAUUAAACCCCGUUAAUACUAAAGACGGGGAAAGUACCGUUAGCGGUAAAAGUAAACCGGAAAAUAUUAGGAAUCAAGUGAAUAAUCCUAAUAUUAAUUAAAAGUGAAUAAGAGCUUCCAGGAAAAUAGAAUGGAUAAAAGGCCCGAUUUAGCGGGACUUAAAAAACGGGUUUUAACUCCCAGAACCCACUAAGUUAACUAGGUAAAAUUAACCUAGUUAGUAAUGAGUAACUAAAUAAUAAACUAUGGGUUAUAGUUUCAUUUAUGAAUCUCUAAACUUGAGGGGCUAAACAUGGGCAAUUAGAGAAGUGUUUUAUUAAAACACUUAAAUAAAAAAAACCACACAUACAUGUGUGUACGUAUGCGAUCAGAAGAAGGAGCCAGGAGAGCUCAAACCCUAGUUCAACAAAUCCUCCAAAUCGAAGCUCAAAUCAAGCCUGAAUCGUCUGCAUGAUUACAAAUUCGUGAUCGCCUAGUCGUGGGGAUCAUAAGUUGACUCUAAACAAGCUAGGUGGGAGCUUGAAAAGGAACGGGUCAAACGGAUCAUGGAUGCGAAGAAUGUUUGCGCGGACGCGGGGGUAAAACGGCUUAUGGAAUUUACGUGGCUAUGAAUCAGCAAAUUAUUAAGGCAAGGUAUUAAAACGGGUCAAUACUUUGACCCGCGCCAGGUACAUUUUGGAUGCCGGAAGACGAUCAAGCUCGACGAAGGACCGAACACGAU